UACGUAGGGUGCGAGCGUUGUCCGGAAUUAUUGGGCGUAAAGCGUGCGCAGGCGGUGCUGUAAGACCGAUGUGAAAUCCCCGGGCUUAACCUGGGAACUGCAUUGGUGACUGCAGCGCUGGAGUAUGGCAGAGGGGGGUGGAAUUCCACGUGUAGCAGUGAAAUGCGUAGAGAUGUGGAGGAACACCGAUGGCAAAGGCAGCCCCCUGGGCCAAUACUGACGCUCAUGCACGAAAGCGUGGGGAGCAAACAGG
rnacentral:rRNA from 1 species